rnacentral:lncRNA from 1 species
GCAAUGGUGCGAUCUCGGCUCACCGCAACCUCCGCCUCCCGAGUUCAAGCGAUUCUCCUACCUCAGGCUCCCGAGUAGCUGGAAUUACAGGUAUCUAGAGAGUCGAGUGGGAGGGAAAUUGCUGGCUCUGGCCACUACAGUAACAUCAGCACCUAGAGCAGUGCUCAACUGACUGAAGGCUCCUGUGAGUCGCCCUCUCCCCCUGGCCCCCCAACCCGCGGGGAAAGGCUGGCGGGACGCCACACAGCACCUCGAUUACGCCAUUUCAUUUGCCACUGCACCAUCUAUCGGACACUAGCUAGGCUCUUCCAGGACCGGACGCACCUCCGUCCCCAAGGUGCCACCUGACAGCCAACACCGACGGGGUGAUGCAUGAAUACAGUCAUUAUUCAAAUUAGCUAAAACACCUAACUCAUUCGGGUCAGGAUGGCUAACUGGUUGGCUCCCCACAUGGUGCCCUACGUCUAUAUCACACCUUAAAGAAGCUGAAGAGAAGAUGUUAAAAUGUGUGCCUUGCACAUACAAAAAAGAACCUGUUCGUAUAUCUAAUGGAAAUAAAAUAUGGACACUGAAGUUCUCUCAUAAUAUUUCAAAUAAGACUCCACUUGUCCUUCUCCAUGGUUUUGGAGGAGGUCUUGGGCUCUGGGCACUGAAUUUUGGAGAUCUUUGCACCAACAGACCUGUCUAUGCUUUUGACCUAUUGGGUUUUGGACGAAGUAGUAGACCCAGGUUUGACAGUGAUGCAGAAGAAGUGGAGAAUCAGUUUGUGGAAUCCAUUGAAGAGUGGAGAUGUGCCCUAGGAUUGGACAAAAUGAUCUUGCUUGGGCACAACCUAGGUGGAUUCUUGGCUGCUGCUUACUCGCUGAAGUACCCAUC